CUAUGCAUUUUUUCAUACGCGUUCGUUGGGUCAGUUAUCCUUUGUCAUUUCACCCUUGUCUUGUAUUCCAGGUUUUGGAAACAUUGGUCCAGUUUGGAGCUCCAAAGAAAAUUUUGGUUGAUGGAAAACCUCAUCUAGGAACUGAUAAAUUGGUACCACUUCUUCAAAAUUUCCGGCGGUACCUGGAAGAGCUGGGUGAUUACACUCAUUGGCAAGGAAAAGUAUGCCUUAGAGCCUUGAUGAAAUACUAAAGCGCACACAAAGCGAGGGGAAGCACUCAACAUGUUUUGAGCCUCGCUUCAGGGCUUAAACGCGCUUUAAGCGCGCCUUUGACAACACUGGAGCAUCUUUGGCUCUGGAUAUAUGCUCACAUCCUGGUGUCAUUGGAGGGAUGUGUAUAAGGUGUGGGCAGAAGGUGGAAAACGAAUCGGGUGUGGCUUUGGGAUACAUACACAAGAAUUUGAGGCUUGCAGAUGAUGAAAUUGCUCGAUUGGGUGACAAGGACCUGAAGAACUUAUUACGCCAUAAAAAGCUGUACUUGGUUCUUGAUUUAGACCACACACUUCUGAACUCAGCUAGACUUGCUGAUAUUUCAGCAGAAGAAUUAUACUUGAAGGACCAACGAGAAGUACUACCUGGUAUGCUACUCUUACUGGUUAUGUGCUAGAGGCUUAUAAUUUCGAUGCUUAUAUCUUGCUCUUGAAAGUGAUGAAAAUCUGUUUUACUUGCACAAGGAAGCUAGGGAAGCAAACUAAGAAAAUUUGUCCAACAGGUUAUCCGUACUGCCUAGGUCUCCUAGCCUGAAAUCUGUUAGAGAUAUUGGUAGUUGGAGGGAAACCUGCAUCUCUACGAUGUAGCUUGAAUGGGAUUUUAUGGUGUAUAUAUGUUAUGUGACUACUAGUUUAAUGAACUAGAUAGGGAAGGAAGCUAUACAGAAAUACGAGGUAAUGUGCACUACGUAGUUAAGAAAAUCUGUGUUAUUGGCAUUACUAGUUGUACCUCUGAUCAGAUUUACUGUGCUAAUUUCUGUCAUCUGUCCUCAA